rnacentral:lncRNA from 1 species
AUUAUUGUGCAGAUUGGCCAAGUGUUCGUCGAUCUGCAAGCCGGUUUAAGAGCUGGAUUGGCCGGUCCAAUUCAACACGGAGCUGAGUGUAUGUUGAAACUUUUCGUCCAUCAAGCAUCGCCUUCAGCUGCCCCGACGAAUUCCUUGCCUUCGCCAACCUCCACUCCUCCAUGAGGUACGCAUACAUUUCUGUUGCUAUUGCUCAUACUUUGUUCCCGAUGUAUUCCUUUGACUAAUGAACCUAGCAGCAUCAAAGUCUAGAAUAUCCACACCAAAAUGCAUUGGCUUGCUGAACCCUUGUGCUGGUUAGAAAUUCAGAAUUGUGAUAUUGUGCUGGGAGCACUCUUGCUACAGUUAUCAGUUAUUAUUCAGCUUUGCAUCUUUUCAGGUUUAAAAGUUGGUUUACAUUGAAACUAUUAAGCAAGUAUCAAAUUGAGUGCAUAGUGUGCAAUUUGUGUUUAGUAAUCUAGUAGCUCAUAAGCAUUAGACCAUAUGUUUUCUUAUAAGCAAAUUAUAUUGAUGGUUGCAAGACAAGUUAAAAUAUACUAGUGCUACCUUGAUUUUUAUACUGCUUGCCAUUUAUUUCUUUGUUUGAUGUUUUAUAUGCUUCUGGUGCGUGAUCCUUCUAAUGCUAGGUGAUUUGUUUCUUGGAAUUUGGAAGAGGAAGACGAUGAAGCAUGGUUGUUAUCUAUCAAUAUGCCUUGUGUUCUGGUUGUACUUCAUAGCUAGUUACAUUGUAUUCUGUACUGGUCUGGUUGUAUGAACACUAUGUAAAGAUUGUAAUAGGCUAAUUUUGGCUAUCAUUUCAAGUAUAUAUUUCUGUUUCAUUUGAAAUAUUUGUCAUCUAUGUACUGUGAAAAUGUGAGAAAUAGAAAACUGAUGAGUUGGACCUACUUAUUGGUAGAGGCCAAGGCCCAAAAC